AUAACUAUCAUGCAGUGCUAUACAUAAUUAUAAAUCUAAUAAAUUUAAGUGCUUAUCUAAUCUGUUUUUAAACAUUGUCAAACUAGUGCUAUUUACAACCCUCUCUGGCAAUGCAUUCCAGGGGCCGUACUUAUAAAACUCCACAAAGAUGCCGUCUUAGUUAGGAAAAGUACUUAACCUACAAGACUUAAGCGCUAAGAAUCUUUCCUAGCAGGAUGCUUUGUUAAGUAACCGUCUUUAGGCGCUUACAUAGCUAACCGCUAACAUGAGCAGACGUUAUGUAAUGUUUUUUGAGGAAUUUCGCAAGAAACGGGUGAAAAUACGUAAAAAUUAUAUUAUAAAUAAAAAACAUAUUUAUCUAGUUAGUUUUCAAUAAUCACCUCUUCAUUUUAACCUUGAUAAUUGAAGGUAUAAAUUUACCACCACUGUUGUCAUCUUGUCAAAACAACAAUCAUUUGGCGCCAACUUCGACUGCACACCAUGGCUACUCAAGAGACUCAAGACAAGAAGAGGAACAGGAAGACGAACUGGACGCCUUCAUCUGGCCCACCUAUACAAAAUUCUCGCAAAAAUACUCCGGAGCGACUUCUCCACAGCUGGCUGCUCUAAGGAAGCCAGAAAUGCUGCUUGGAGGAGCAAUAGUGCGGAGGUGUCUGCCGUGUCAGACAUUCUCCGCACUAGGGAGUGCCAGAAACAUUGGCAUAUUAUAAAAUCUGAGGCAAGACGGAACACUCGCAAGCAGAGAGAAGCCAUGACUGCCACAGAUGGUGGACCUCCUGCCAACCCUCCUCUCUCCCAGCACAAUGAGUUAAUCUUUUAGAUUUUGGACCCUAAGAAUGUCUCUAUUCAUGGGUGUACCAAUAAGGCAAGCAUCAUUGAAUGCACCUUCCUUAACAAAGGAUAAGCCACUUGUAGAUAUAGCAAUAUUAGGCCAUAAUGUUGUCUCAAAUGUCUGCAAUCCAAAAUACUCGUUCCCAUUUAGUUUACAACUUAGAGUUAAACACAAUAGUAAAUUUGUUAUCUAGUGUCGAGAAAAUUUCAUUUUUUUUAACCAAACAGCUAAAACAGUAAUAAGAAAAGAAAAAAAAACUAAUAAAGUUAACUUAAUUCCUAUCACUUCUUCCCCCUCAUAAAUAUGGUGUUGUAGUGGGUGAAUGUGUUAAUGAUAACAAGUCUUAGGGAUUUACAGUUUCUUAGACAUGGGCUUCCUUCAAACAGAAUAGGAUUUAAGUCAAACACAUUGUACCCUUAGCUAGAUUUACUGGUUUCUGUUACUUUUGUCCUUAGCAAUAAAACCAAAAUCAUUUUCAGCUUAGUUUCUGAAGUUAGAACUAAUGAUGCCAGCAGUGUGCAGGCAGCAGAUGAUGCUGGGGAAGUGGCAGAGGCAUCCCAACAGAGAGAAGUGGUGACUGAGGCAGUGGGUGUUGAGGAGGAGGUACAGGUUAAGUACAUGUACUACACACAAAAACUAGAGUACCUGAAACAAACAAAUAAAAAAUAGUAAUAAAGAUAUAAAUAAUGUACUAUUUGUUUUUGUUUGUAACCACUCAACCAAAUAUUAGUGUUAACACAAAAUUAACUGCAGUUUCUAUAUGCUCAACCUACAAUCUACUUACUUCAGGUAUGGGAGAGAGA